UCAGCUUCCUGGAAAAUGGCUUUAGAAUGUUGCAACGGAAAGGAAAGUCUAGAAACUUCAAAAUAAUGAAUACAAAUACUAGCAACACCUGUAUUUCGUUGGAUUUAAGCUUCCUGUAGUUAUCGAUGAAGCCUGAACUGCUUGCAGAUAUUCCCCAAUCAGCACAUGUUGAUCUUGCUGAUAAAGGCUGAGUAUUUGGUACCAUUAUGCUGAAAAACAAGCACAUUGGGAUACUUCAUCUGGAAUCGUAUGUUCUUUUGAAUCAGCAAAACAGACUCCUGUGGAACUUUAUAUCAUCUUGUAUUGGAGCCUUGUUAUGAAAUGGCCUCUAGUGUGAGUUCAAUGUAAGCUGAAUAAAGGC